rnacentral:lncRNA from 1 species
GAUUCUGUGUGCUCAGUUAGCUGAGAACAUGCUGUGGCACAGCAAAGGUUGCCAUUCAGUGGCAGGUGGCUGGCUUUCAUGCAACAGAUAUUCUGCCUUUACAAAAUAUACAUCUACCAGACAAGAAGGUGACGUGGCUGACACACGGCUCAUCUAUUCUUAGAUUUGGCAUUUGGGAACACAGUUUCACCACUUCUAUCUGGCUGGCAGCAGUGUUCUAUGAAGGUGUAAAAGUUGCAUGCAGCAGAAAUGGGAAACUUGCAGUAACUGGCUCAGGACAGCAAAGUUGACGUGGUGCCAGGAUCACUCACAUUCCACAGCUGUCAAGGACUCUCUUGGCAAGGCCCCUCCACCAGCAUCAUCCCAGCUCCCCACCACCUGGUGCUCAUCCCCACCUGCAGCUGGAGCCAUGGGUUCCAAAUUCUGGGAGCAGGGGAAGGCAGCAGAGUGGGUGUGAAGGCUGCUCCUAGGUGCUGGCAACCUGCAUGUAGGCAGUGGGUACGCCAUGGUAAGCAACCCAGCAGGGCCAGAUGGUGUGGGAGCAGGAUUUUACGGGCUCAUAGCUCCAACCCUCAGGCUCAGUGGGUUUGUCAGAAAUGGUUAAUCAAAUUCUGAAUAACCCUCCCAGAAAAUCAACCAGCUUUUCCCCCAUGGGACUGCUGGAGCCCAUAUGAAAAAUGAAAAAGGUUUGGAAACUAGGUUUACAUUUUUACUGCUGGAAUUUGUACCAACUUGGUGUUUUCUUUCUUUGAGAACAUGAUGUGAGACCUUUGUGCUGUGAUGGCAAAGGGCACGGAGGAAGGGAGCACAAGAAGAUACUGGUUAAUUUGCUGCCUGUCUGCUCUGACUUCAAUACUGCAGUCGGACUGGACAUGGUGUUGUGAAGGACACAGCCCUG